rnacentral:rRNA from 1 species
AAUUUUGGACAAUGGUCGCAAGCCUAACCCAGCCAUGCCUCUUGAGUUAAUAAUGACAUCGGGAUGUAACUAUCGUUCGGACGAAAAAUAAUCGCCGAAGCUAAUACCCUGCACUGAUGUCGGUACCAUUAUAAGAAUCAACCGACAACUCCAUGCUAGCACCCGCGGUAAUACGUAAGGUGCGAGCGUUAAUCGGAAUUACUGGGCGUAAAGCGUGCGCAGGCGGUUGAUUAAGACAGGCGUGAAAUCCCCGGGCUUAACCUGGGAACUGCGCUUGUGACUGGUCAGCUAGAGUACGGCAGAGGGGGGUGGAAUUCCACGUGUAGCAGUGAAAUGCGUAGAGAUGUGGAGGAACACCGAUGGCGAAGGCAGCCCCCUGGGCCGAUACUGACGCUCAUGCACGAAAGCGUGGGUAGCAAACAGG